UACGGAGGGGGCUAGCGUUGUUCGGAAUUACUGGGCGUAAAGCGCGCGUAGGCGGACCUGCAAGUCGGGGGUGAAAGCCCGAGGCUCAACCUCGGAACUGCCUUCGAUACUGCGGGUCUCGAGUCCGGGAGAGGUGAGUGGAAUUCCUAGUGUAGAGGUGAAAUUCGUAGAUAUUAGGAAGAACACCAGUGACGAAGGCGGCUCACUGGCCCGGUACUGACGCUGAGGCGCGAAAGCGUGGGGAGCAAACAGG
rnacentral:rRNA from 1 species